rnacentral:rRNA from 1 species
GGGUUGUGAGGUUAAGCGAAUAAGCGUACACGGUGGAUGCCUAGGCAAUCAGAGGCGAUGAAGGACGUGCUAAUCUGCGAAAAGCGUCGGUAAGGUGAUAUGAACCGCUAUACCCGACGAUAUCCGAAUGGGGAAACCCAGUAUCCAAUGGAUACUAUCAUUAACUGAAUCCAUAGGUUAAUGAGGCGAACCGGGAGAACUGAAACAUCUCAGUACCCCGAGGAAAAGAAAUCAACCGAGAUUCCCCUAGUAGCGGCGAGCGAACGGGGAGCAGCCCAGAGUCUUAAUCAAUAGCAGUGUCAGGAGAACGGUCUGGAAAGUCCGGCAGUAAAGGGUGAUAGCCCCGUAUCUGAAGAUGCUGUUAUUGUGAACUCGACGAGUAGGGCGGGACACGUGUUAUCCUGUCUGAAUAUGGGGGGACCAUCCUCCAAGGCUAAAUACUCCUGAUUGACCGAUAGUGAACCAGUACCGUGAGGGAAAGGCGAAAAGAACCCCGGCGAGGGGAGUGAAAAAGAACCUGAAACCGUGUACGUACAAGCAGUAGGAGCCUCUUUAUGGGGUGACUGCGUACCUUUUGUAUAAUGGGUCAGCGACUUAUAUUCUGUAGCAAGGUUAACCGUAUAGGGGAGCCGUAGGGAAACCGAGUCUUAACUGGGCGAAUGAGUUGCAGGGUAUAGACCCGAAACCCGGUGAUCUAUCCAUGGGCAGGUUGAAGGUUGGGUAACACUAACUGGAGGACCGAACCGACUAAUGUUGAAAAAUUAGCGGAUGACUUGUGGAUGGGGGUGAAAGGCCAAUCAAACCGGGAGAUAGCUGGUUCUCCCCGAAAGCUAUUUAGGUAGCGCCUCGUGAACUCAUCUUCGGGGGUAGAGCACUGUUUCGACUAGGGGGUCAUCCCGACUUACCAACUCGAUGCAAACUGCGAAUACCGAAGAAUGUUAUCACGGGAGACACACGGCGGGUGCUAACGUCCGUCGUGAAGAGGGAAACAACCCAGACCGCCAGCUAAGGUCCCAAAGUCAUGGUUAAGUGGGAAACGAAGUGGGAAGGCUCAGACAGCCAGGAUGUUGGCUUAGAAGCAGCCAUCAUUUAAAGAAAGCGUAAUAGCUCACUGGUCGAGUCGGCCCGCGCGGAAGAUGUAACGGGGCUAAACCAUGCACCGAAGCUGCGGCAGCGACACAUAGUGUUGUUGGGUAGGGGAGCGUUCUGUAAGCCUGCGAAGGUGUACUGUGAGGUAUGCUGGAGGUAUCAGAAGUGCGAAUGCUGACAUAAGUAACGAUAAUGCGGGUGAAAAACCCGCACGCCGGAAGACCAAGGGUUCCUGUCCAACGUUAAUCGGGGCAGGGUGAGUCGACCCCUAAGGCGAGGCUGAAAAGCGUAGUCGAUGGGAAACGGGUUAAUAUUCCCGUACUGGUGGUAACUGCGAUGGGGGAACGGAGAAGGCUAGGUUGUCCGGGCGACGGUCGUCCCGGUUCAAGCAGGUAGGCAGAGUGAUUAGGCAAAUCCGGUCACUUAAUGCUGAGAUGUGAUGACGAACCACCAAGGUGGUGAAGCAAUUGAUGCCCCGCUUCCAGGAAAAGCCUCUAAGCUUCAGGUUACCAACAAUCGUACCCCAAACCGACACAGGUGGUCAGGUAGAGAAUACUCAGGCGCUUGAGAGAACUCGGGUGAAGGAACUAGGCAAAAUGGUGCCGUAACUUCGGGAGAAGGCACGCUGGCGGUAGGUAAAGUCCCUCGCGGACGGCGCCCAAGCCAGUCGAAGAUACCAGCUGGCUGCAACUGUUUAUUAAAAACACAGCACUGUGCAAACACGAAAGUGGACGUAUACGGUGUGACGCCUGCCCGGUGCUGGAAGGUUAAUUGAUGGGGUUAGCGCAAGCGAAGCUCCUGAUCGAAGCCCCAGUAAACGGCGGCCGUAACUAUAACGGUCCUAAGGUAGCGAAAUUCCUUGUCGGGUAAGUUCCGACCUGCACGAAUGGCGUAAUGAUGGCCAGGCUGUCUCCACCCGAGACUCAGUGAAAUUGAACUCGCUGUGAAGAUGCAGUGUACCCGCGGCAAGACGGAAAGACCCCGUGAACCUUUACUAUAGCUUGACACUGAACAUUGAGCCUUGAUGUGUAGGAUAGGUGGGAGGCUUUGAAGUGUGGACGCCAGUCUGCAUGGAGCCAACCUUGAAAUACCACCCUUUAACGUUUGAUGUUCUAACCUAGGCCCAUAAACUGGGUCGGGGACCGUGUCUGGUGGGUAGUUUGACUGGGGCGGUCUCCUCCUAAAGAGUAACGGAGGAGCACGAAGGUUGGCUAAGCAUGGUCGGACAUCAUGCGGUUAGUGCAAAGGCAUAAGCCAGCUUGACUGCGAGAGUGACGGCUCGAGCAGGUACGAAAGUAGGUCUUAGUGAUCCGGUGGUUCUGAAUGGAAGGGCCAUCGCUCAACGGAUAAAAGGUACUCCGGGGAUAACAGGCUGAUACCGCCCAAGAGUUCAUAUCGACGGCGGUGUUUGGCACCUCGAUGUCGGCUCAUCACAUCCUGGGGCUGAAGUAGGUCCCAAGGGUAUGGCUGUUCGCCAUUUAAAGUGGUACGCGAGCUGGGUUUAGAACGUCGUGAGACAGUUCGGUCCCUAUCUGCCGUGGGCGUUGGAAGAUUGAGAGGGGUUGCUCCUAGUACGAGAGGACCGGAGUGAACGCACCACUGGUGUUCGGGUUGUCAUGCCAAUGGCAUUGCCCGGUAGCUAAGUGCGGAAGAGAUAACCGCUGAAAGCAUCUAAGCGGGAAACUUGCCUCGAGAUGAGUCUUCCCUGUCGCUUUAAGCGACCUAAAGGAACGUUUAAGACUAAGACGUUGAUAGGCUGGGUGUGUAAGCGUAGCGAUACGUUGAGCUAACCAGUACUAAUGAACCGUGAGGCUUAACCUGACAACACCGAAAGUGUUUUG